rnacentral:rRNA from 1 species
UACGGAGGAUGCAAGCGUUAUCCGGAUUUAUUGGGUUUAAAGGGUGCGCAGGUUGUUUGAUAAGUCAGUGGUGAAAGUCUGUCGCUUAACGGUAGGAUUGCCAUUGAUACUGUUGGACUUGAAUAUGGAUGAGGUAGGCGGAAUGUGUAGUGUAGCGGUGAAAUGCAUAGAUAUUACACAGAACACCGAUUGCGAAGGCAGCUUACUGGACUGUAACUGACGCUCAGGCACGAAGGCGUGGGGAUCAAACAGGA